GAGGGGAAGAGGUAGCUUGGGACGAGGUAGUAAGCAAAACUUGAUAUGAAAACCAUGAAGAAGAAUUGUAGCCUUGUAUGGCCUCCUCUUGGUCUCUUGUCUUUCUCAUGCAAUGCCCUGAACAAUUUCCAGAUAUUUGAGAUGAGGUAAGGUUCAUAUAUAUUGUUGACAAUGUUUUCUCUCAUAACUAGAACACUUGAUUCAGAUUUACCAAUCAAAUAUGUCUAAGAUUUAGUUCUGGGAGAAAAUACCUGAAUAGAGAGACCUGAACUAGAUUUGCAGGCCACCACAUAUAUGGGGAGUCAACUAGGUAUCUUCUGAAUAACCCAGCCCAUCCAUAUCCUAGCAUCUGCUCUCAUCAGCAAUCACUCAGAAAAAUAUACUAGAACUAUACCAACUAAAACAUGAAAAUGGGUAUUAUGGGACAAACACAAUCAGGCUGAAGUAAUCUAAAAGAGGCUUAGUGAGCCGAAUGAAGUAAAUUAGAGGAGACCUGAGUGGUUUGGGACAGUAACAUGGCUGCCAGAGGAUGGAGAUUUCUGUGAUAAAACGCCUUAACAAUCGUGACUAUAUUCAAAGCGUAGACACUAUUCGAUCCAGAGUUGGCGAAAAUGGUAAUCAGGACAUGUUCUUUGAGAGUAAAUGGCCCUGGAUUCAACGAAAACGACCAUUUGGUGAAUGGAACUCGAAAAGAGGAAGAUGGAAUAGUUGCAGCCAUCAAUUUUCCCAGAGGAAGAACAAGAAUCUGUGCGGAGACCGAAGAAACAUAAAGCUGGUUCUGGCGAAAACCAAAAAAUUGGUUUACAAAAGCCAAAAGACAGCAAGAUGUAAGCCCAAGAAUCCAUGUUCUGAAUGUUAAGGCUGGCUCUGAAGGGUCAUCAGUUGGUGGAACUGUGAGCCUCACUUCCUCAAUUGGACUAUCGUUCUCCUCCUCCCCUGCAUUGCCAAAUUUCACAAAUCUUAUUCUGAACAGACAUCAUCCUUCAUGAGGAAAGGUUGUUAACCCAGAUUUUUUUCAUCUUCAAAAGGUUGAAAAUGCUGAUAAAAGUUCCAUGGUAGAAGAAGAAAGAAAUUUUCUCACGAGUUUUUUGGAAGUUGGAUUCAAGAUUUUCCUCUGAUAGGUUGAAUUGAGGGGUCCCAUCCCCAUCUUUAGCUUUUAUCAUCUUCUCCUUCUCCUUCUCCUU
rnacentral:lncRNA from 1 species